CUUCAAGUUACUGGUGGCUUUUGAUUUGUAGUAUUUUGGUUUUGAGCAGUGAUUAUGUUGGUUUUCUCUUGCCUUCCAAUCUUUCAGGCAGCUGAAAUUUAUUCACAACUGAAGACUCUGCAGUUCAGCUCUAUUUUCUUCCAGUUUUGGUAUUCCAGUCUCCAACCCAAGUGACAUGCCUUGCCUCCAUGUUUUAUUAAUGUCUGAUGGAGAUUGAUCCAAAAGCUCAUCAAAUUCGAUAAUCACCAUAUUAAAGGAUUAUCUGCAAACUCUAAUUGAUAUUAUUUGGACAUUGACUUCCUUAUAACCAAAAAGCCAAAGUUAAAACUUCUAAGAAGCUGGCAGAUCAGGCUUGGGGAAACUAACAACAACAGCAGCAGCAACAACAAUAACAACAACAACAAUAAUAAAGUUGGAAGGGACCUUGGAGGUCAUCUAGUCCAGCCCCUUGCUGGAGCAUUCACAGCUUCUGGAGGCUUGCUUACUUUGUUGGGACUACUAUCUGGGGGAAAACUCCUGUACUUGGAAAGUUGACAUUUUGGCUUCUUUCAUAUCAGGACAUAAAGAAAGUGGUCAUCAUCCUGAAAUGGACUCCUUGCUUUCUUUUAUGAUCUCCUACCCACAACAUUUUCUAAAGCUUUAACGGUUCAAGAAGCUGGGGCAGGAACAGGAGGAUAGCCCAUCACACAAUGCUUGAGUCUUGAACUGACCACCUUCCAGUAAACAGCCCAAUGUCUUCACCGCCAGGCCACCAUUUCUACCAAUAACCUCUGCCCGCUGGAAAAGAUCUAAUGAGAGUCUGUCCAUAUUCCUUGGUAUAUCCUAUUAGAUGAGCAACAUGUUUUCUUAAAGCCAAGAAUACAAAUUGAUAAUUGAUUGUGGGCCUGGGCCUGCUUGAGAGGUUUCUAAAAACUGAACAGAUUGGAUUAACCAUCAGAAGCG